rnacentral:rRNA from 1 species
GGAGGGAACUCUGACGCAGCGACGCCGCGUGAAGGAAGAAGGCCUUCGGGUUGUAAACUUCUUUGAUCGGGGACGAAGAUGACGGUACCCGAGGAACAAGCCACGGCUAACUACGUGCCAGCAGCCGCGGUAAUACGUAGGUGGCGAGCGUUGUCCGGAAUUACUGGGUGUAAAGGGCGUGUAGGCGGGGCGUCAAGUCAGGUGUGAAAUUCCGAGGCUUAACUUCGGGUGUGCAUCUGAAACUGAUGUUCUUGAGUGUCGGAGAGGAAAGUGGAAUUCCCAGUGUAGCGGUGAAAUGCGUAGAGAUUGGGAGGAACACCAGUGGCGAAGGCGGCUUUCUGGACGAUAACUGACGCUGAGGCGCGAAAGCGUGGGUAGCAAACAGGAUUAGAUACCCUGGUAGUCCACGCUGUAAACGAUGGAUACUAGGUGUAGGAGGUAUCGACCCCUUCUGUGCCGGAGUUAACACAAUAAGUAUCCCGCCUGGGGAGUACGGCCGCAAGGCUGAAACUCAAAGGAAUUGACGGGGGCCCGCACAAGCAGUGGAGUAUGUGGUUUAAUUCGAAGCAACGCGAAGAACCUUACCAGGGCUUGACAUCCCUCUGACUGGCAUAGAGAUAUGCCUUCCCUUCGGGGCAGAGGAGACAGGUGGUGCAUGGUUGUCGUCAGCUCGUGUCGUGAGAUGUUGGGUUAAGUCCCGCAACGAGCGCAACCCCUGUUGUUAGUUGCCAUCAUUAAGUUGGGCACUCUAACGAGACUGCCGGUGACAAAUCGGAGGAAGGUGGGGACGACGUCAAAUCAUCAUGCCCCUUAUGUCCUGGGCUACACACGUACUACAAUGGCGACUACAGAGGGCAGCAACAUCGCGAGGUAGAGCAAAUCCCCAAAAGUCGCCCCAGUUCGGAUUGCAGGCUGCAACUCGCCUGCAUGAAGUCGGAAUUGCUAGUAAUGGCAGGUCAGCAUACUGCCGUGAAUACGUUCCCGGGCCUUGUACACACCGCCCGUCACACCAUGAGAGUUGACAACACCCGAAGUCGGUAGUCUAACCGCAAGGAGGACGCCGCCGAAGGUGGGGUUGAUGAUUAGGGUGAAGUCGUAACAAGGUAGCCGUAUCGGAAGGUGCGGCUG